UCGCUCCUACCGAUUUCGAGUGGUCCGGUGAACUAUUUGGACCGAAGACAACCUUGUGUAGUCAUUGGAAAAUCUCGUAAACCACAUCACUUAGAGGAAGGAG
rnacentral:rRNA from 1 species